AAUAUGUUGAAGUAGUUAAGUCAUACAAUAUGAUUUUUUCUAAAUACUUUUGAUAAUGCUACGUAUCCCUCCAUCGCGCUUGGUUGAAAAGCCAGUGGCGCGAAGCUACCGUGCGUUGGAUUAUGACUGAACGCCUCUAAGUCAGAAUCCGGGCUAGAAGCGAUGCGUGUGCCCGUCGCCCGUUUGCCGACCAGCAGUAGGGGGCCUCGGCCCCCAAGAGGCACGUGCCGUUGGUGAUCCCCGCGGGGUGGACGAUCCUCGCGGGACGCCUUGAAGCGCUAUUCCCCACUGGGCGGCGGGUAGAAUCCUUUGCAGACGACUUAAAUACGCGACGUGGUAUUGUAAGUGGCAGAGUGGCCUUGCUGCCACGAUCCACUGAGAUUCAGCCCUUGUCGCUUAGAUUC